GGGGGAAAGUUGUUAGGAGGGGGAAGGGAGAGAGAGAAAGGGGGCAGAGAAAGAAAAGGGGCACAGAGAGAGAGAGAGAGAGAGAGAGAGAGAGAGAGAGAGAGAGGAGAGAAGGGAGGCCAAAAAGUCCCUUUUAUAAUAAGCCAGUCCCACCAGGCUGUUGCUAAAUAACUGCUGGGCGGAGCCUAAUAGGAAUGCAAACAGUCCUUUGCCAGAGACUUGAUCUGAAAACUAGACAUCCCUUGUACCCGCUGUUCCUCUGAGCACAGAGCUUGGCUCGGGGAUGGGCAUCUGCUACAUUUUGGUCUAAAGAGCAACAAGAGGCCCUAUUCCUUGGGUCCCGGGGAAACAUUGUUCCUACUCUAGAGAGGAGGAGAAAGGCAACAAUAGCAAGUUCCAUGUGUUUGUCCUAUUUGCCCGCAUCUGGACACUAGUGUGAGACUGAAGCUGCCGCUGGAUGGUGAGGAGACACCACGGAGAUUCCUAGAGAAACCAAAGCCUAGCCACUGGAUACGACAACUCCGAAGCCCGACAGACUUGCAGAUGCACCAGAAGAGGGCGCCAAGAUCACAACAGAGGUGGUUGUGAGCCACCUUGUGGUUGCUGGGAUUUGAACUCCGGACCUCCAGAAGAGCAGUCAGUGCUCUUAACCACUGAACCAUCUCUCCAGCCCCAUGUUUUGCAUUCUUUUUUUUUUUUUUCUUUUUUAGGAGCUGGGGACCUAACCCAGGGCCUUGCGUUUGCUAGGCAAGCGCUCUACCACUGAGCUAAAUCCCCAACCCCAUGUUUUGCAUUCUUAUAGGAAAAUAAUGCUUUAGUUAUAGAAAACGAAGAUUCUCUAUGCUUGCCUCCUAUAAUUCUUCAGCAUGAAGAAGAGUUAGCUGGUGACUAACUUCUCUAUGCUCGCCCAGCCAAUGGGAGCUGAGGAAGACCCCUGCCAACAUCCUCAGGUCUCUGCCCACUGCUCCUGCUCCUCGCUUCAACUUUACAAAGUCAUUUAUUUCUGUCUUUUCCAGGCCUAAGAACUGUGGGCUUUGACCUUCAGAAGGCAUUUCAUUCUUUUGACUUAACAAAGUGUGUGUGUGUGUGUGUGUGUGUGUGUGUGUGUGUGUGUGUGUAUUUGGGUCUGAAAGGCACUUACGAUAAUUGGAUCUGACGCUCACGUGGUUUUUGCUGCAUUUGCUGCCCAAGGCUCAUAAUGAGUCAAGGAGGCGACUGCCUGGCAUUCGCUUGCACUGCGCGGUAUCAAGAAGAGGCAGAUAAAUUGGAAGAGGUCUGGAGGAGAUCAGCUAAAAUGAGGAAAGGGAGGGAAAUUGAAGCAGCGAGAUAGAGAAUGCUUCACUGAGCAGCCAGUCAGCUAGAAGAGAGUGGGUUCUGGGAUGUCUAUGAAUAUUUUCAAGCUGGAAGAAAAUGGUAAUUGCUUUACUAUUUUGGCGGGGCUAAGAAAAUGGACUAAGUAGAUACAAAGAAAGUGUAUUGGGUGCCAGCACCAGCUGUAGUAAAAACCUUAACUCUCUGUUGACCUCAGCUUUUGACAUUCUAUUUCUACUAUGGUAGAUGGCUAGGGUGACCACUUGUCUAGUAUGGCCUGAAACUCAUGAUUUCCUUGAAUUUGGGGCUGUCAGCAUUUGAGGCAGGACAGUCUUGUGCAAACCAGGCCAGUUGUUCCCCACUGACUGCAUUGCUUGACCACUUGCGUGUGCGAGCCGUAAACUGGGCCUAGCCUACCACUGCGCAUAUUUGGCCAUGAGAACACAAGAGCAGGAUACCAGAAGUCUUGUUGGCACAAGGACUUCAAAUCUUCUCAAAGACAUGCUAAAGGGAUCCCUGUCGCUCACGGUUGAGCCACAGAAGACCCCACUGUGCAGCUCUGCAUCUACAAAGAAGCAAAGCCUGUUUGCCUGGACUCAACCCAGGGGCAUCUGGAUUCUUUGAAAAGAUGGAGUACGUGGCCUGAAGUUGCUCAGCACGAUUCAUUAUGGGACUUCUACAUAAGCUGAGCCACCAAUGUUUAAUGGUCAUCCCUCUGAACGACUCUCACUAGUCAGAGUGUGGUACUCCUGGAGGCCCCCACCCAGGGAGGCCAGCAUCAGGGCACCGGGUCCACAGGAGCAAGUUGAAAAGCGUUUGAAGACUGUCAGUGGCAGCAGGAGGCAGGGUGGUCACUUUUUAGUUGUAAGAAAUGACAGUGAUAAGUCAGGCCCUUGGACAAUAGACAAAAAAGGAACCAUUGAAAAUGAGGAGAAUAGCAUCUAAUGAGAAAAUCCCUCUAAGAAGUGGGGCCAUUUGCAGAAGCUCUCACGAAUCCUAACGAAACCUCCAAGCCAAAUAGUAUCUCUACUUAUAUCCAACUGUCAAAAUCUAAGUCUAAUUCUGCCAGAGCAGAGGGACUCAGGGUCCCCGUGCCCAGGGACAGUUUACUGGGAGAGUCGGGGAAGAAACAGGAUGGAAGUAAGUUGCUGAAAAGCAAACACAGGAGGAGAGGAAAGAAACAUAGUUCAAGGCUGCCUGGUCUUGUCUGGUGAGGACAGGGCAUUUAGUGAUCAGUCUCAUGAACCCUGACUCAACAACCAUAGACUGACUUGCAUGCAAGAUAAAAUGGCUGGCCGCCAUUAACGCAAGAGCAGUGUGCCGCAGGUAUGAUCUGUUCGUCCUGGACGCAUCUGGAGGGCUGAAGAACACGGCGCAAGUAAGCAGUAAGGGAAAUGCCUGAAAUUAGACCACGGAGAGGAUGGUGUGUUGCUACAGUUUGCCUUGGGUGCCCUGGUUGUCAACGCAGAUUAAACAGCUCUGCGUUGAGCUGGAGAGAUGGCUCAGUGGUUAAGAGGACUGCUCUUCCAGAGGUCCUGAGUUCAAUUCCCAGCAACCGCAUGGUGGCUCACAACCAUCUGUAAUGGGACCUGAUGCCCUCUUCUGGUGUGUCUGAAGGCAACGGCAGCGUAUUCAUAUACAUAAAGUGAAUAAAUAAAUCUUUUAAAAGAGCAGCUCUGUGUCUUUGGUCACUGUCAUCUACCACUUCUGUAACAUCUGCUUUGGUCCCCAUCUUCCAUAAGAAUUAUCUGUCAUCUCGUCAUCUAGGUCCCGGGUGUGCCUAGUUCCAGGAAUUUAAGUCCAAGAAGGCCGAGGAAGACAAUGCUUGUAAUUUUCUGCCGAGGAAGACAAUGCUUGUAAUAUUUUCUGUCGUGGCAGCUGACUUCACAUUCCCAAACUCAUGAAAUGGGGACUUCAUGGCUAGGUAGUGAGAGAGUGACAGCUGUUCUUGCGGUACCCACUUCAGUGGCUCAAUGCCGACAUAGACAGGUGCUGGUGGUCUUAAACUCAUGCUUCCCACCUGAGAGAAGAUGACACCGUUCAUUCUGUCAGAGAAUAUGCUUCCCCGUUAAAGCCUAGUUGAAUUCCUUCAAUGUUCUGAGUCUCCUUAAAGUUCAGGAUUUGAUUCGUUGUAAUCCACGGUGUCUUAGGGUUUCCACUGCUGUGAAGAGACACGGUGACCAAGGCAACUCGUAGAAGGACAUUUCAUUGGGGCUGGCUUGCAGGUUCAGAGGUUUGGUCCAUUACCAUCAAGGAGGGGAAGCAUGGCAGCAUCCAGGCAAGUGUGGCACUGAAGAAGCUGCUGAGAGCUCUGAGAGUUCUACAUCUUGUUCCGACUGGCUUUCAGGCAGCUAGGAGGAAGCCCUCUCAAAGUCCAUCCCCAACAGUGACACACUUCCUCCAACAGGGCCACCCCUUCUAAGUGCCACUCUCUGGACCAAGCAUAUUCAAACCAUCGCACAGGGGUACCUGUAGUUACCCCCACCUCACAUAAAAUAAUGAAAUGGGGCUGGAGUGGCGGCUCAGUGGGCAAAGCCUAAGUGAUGGUAGCAACUCAGUUUCCAGAAGUUGUGUGGUGAGAACUCACUCUCUAACCUGUGACCUCUACAUGCAUGGCAUGGUAUGUGCCAAAGUGCAUUCACUCACACACACACACACACACACACAUACACGUUUAAAUAAAUGAAUAUAAUAAAAGUAGUGAAAUAAGCGGAGAAGAAAACUUACUAAAGUAUCAGCCUCUAUGUUUCAGUGAGAAGAAUUAAUAGUGUUUCUUUUUUCAUAUCUGGCUAAGAGCCUUGUGCUGUCAGAUGCAUCUUCCCUCCUUCAGAGUCACGUUCCCUUUGAAAUCAGCCAGCCCCUCACACGGACCAGACUCUUCUGGAGCAAUACGGUCUUCAUCCCAGGUAGUUUUCGAGUGUUGAUGGUCAAGACUGUCCCUCCUGCUAGACUUUUAUCAUAAAAAUUGCAGUAUGAGAAGACGACACGAUUUUGUGGAGUUCAUCCACUGGUUGGCUGGCUCUGUCCGUUGUGGCGGCAGCCCCACUUCCUGACAGACAAGUGAGAGCAAAACCAACAACUUUAAACAUUACAUUGUUGUGUAUUUGUGCUUGCUUGUUUGUACAUGUGCUCCCCUCUCAGUGUGUGUGUGUGUGUGUGUGUGUGUGUGUGUGUGUUGGUCUGUUUGCCCAACUAGUUCUGAGGGACACUGUACAGUGUAGGUCAGAGAAUUGCACACACAGAGUCCUACUGACUUAGUUUUCUUCUGCAACGUGUUUUUCUUAGCAGCACUGCGUGUGGCGUUGGUGAUGUUGCUCUAACAACAGGAAGUGUAAAUGCUAAUUCAAAUCCAGAGCAAGUCUGCCCUGUAAUGGAAAGGGCUGGUGGAAGGAAAGCCCUUCUACCACCAGGGGGCAGGCUGGUUCCUUCAAGAAGGAACUGAGCUAAAAGCUGUCGCUGUUGGAGCCCAUGUCUAAGCUAGGGAGUUAAUCAGGUCAGCUGUGGAGAAGGAAGCCUGCAUCAUUGACUCCACUCACCGAUUCCACUCUGGAUUUCCUGUCAGCCUGGUACAUGAGCCCACCAGAGUCACUCAUUGGCAGGGAGAGAGUUGACUGGCAGCCACCAGUCUUCACCUUUAUCAACAUGGGGUGAAGGUCUUUGGGGACUGUACACUUGAGACACAUGUCUAGGUGCCCAUUCUAUGGCUCCAUAAUCUCCCUGAUACUGAUUUUCUAGUCUGUUUCCUCCAGGUUCCUGACUGGCCAACUUAUUAUCAACCACUGUUGAAGAAUUGAUAAAGAAGGAAAGGUUGUGGGACUGGAGAGAUGGUUCAAUGGUUGAGAGCACUGACUGCUCUUCCAGAGGUCCUGAGUUCAAAUCCCAGCAGCCACAUGGUGGCUCACAAUCAUCUGUGAUGGGAUCUGGGGCCCUCUUCUGGUGUGUCUGAACAUAGCUACACUGUACUCAUACAUAUAAAAUAAAUUUAUCUUUAAAAAAAUGAUAAUAUGGAAUGUCAAGCUUCCUCAUCCAGCAAAAACAGGGCAAUAAAAUGUCAUACACCAACCCUGUAGGACAGUGGUUCUCAAUCUGUGGGUCACAACCCACUUGGGGUUUGCAUAUCAGAUACUUAUUAUUACUAUUCGUAGCAACCGCAAAAUUACAGUUAUGAGGUAGCAACAAAAUAAUCUUAUGGUUGGGGGUCAGCACAACAUGAGGAGCUGUAUUAAAGGGUAGCAAUAUAGGAAGGUUGGGAGCCACUGCUCUAGGAUAUAGGAUGGUUUCCCUUGCCCACCGUUUUUAGUGGCCACUCAAGAGUGUUGGUGUAGGGUUAUUAGCCUAGCGAGGUUGGCACAGGCACAUCAAGCAGACCCCCCCUCAAGCUAACCUUGACUUCCUCCUCCUUGGUUGAGCUGACCUAGGGAACUCUUGGUGAGCAUGGAGGUGGGGCGGGAGAAGGCAGAGGUAAGCCUCGUGUUCACCAAACUGUUUCCACCGUUGGCGUGAGCACUCACACACAUCAUUUUUUUAUUUGCCCAGUUUUUAAAUUUAUUAUAUAUGAGAACACUGCCACUGUGCCACUGUCUUCAGUUACACC